rnacentral:rRNA from 1 species
UGCGUAGGUGGCCUUUUAAGUUGGAUGUGAAAUACCCGGGCUUAACUUGGGGGUGCAUCUAAUACUGGAGGGCUAGAGUGCAGGAGAGGAAAGCGGAAUUCCUAGUGUAGCGGUGAAAUGCGUAGAUAUUAGGAGGAACACCAGCGGCGAAGGCGGCUUUCUGGACUGUAACUGACACUGAGGCACGAAAGCGUGGGGAGCAAACA